rnacentral:lncRNA from 1 species
CCUCCAGAGGAGGUCUGUCCAAAAACAGCGUUGGCCAAUCCCAGGAAUGCUUGGGAUGAGUUACGGGAACACGAGACCUUCUCUGGAGCUGCAGCCUGAACUCCUCCCGCUGCCCAGAUUCCUGCUGCGGCCUGCAGGCGGGUCUCCCUGGCGGGCUGUGUCACACAGCCUUAUUUCACAGCAGCUGCAGCGCUGGGGGCCAUCCCCCACAGUUUGGGGGUGCUGAGGGAAGGGACAGGCAGGGAGCUGCUGCAGGGGACCCGGCAGAGCUUUGAGCACAUCACUGUGCCCACAAUCCCACCACACAUCCUAUAGGGACAGCACCAAUGCUCCUGUGUGGGACAGGACCCCAGGAUGGGAUGAGGACCUCCUCACCCCCCCAUAUCACAGCUCAGCCCUCCUCGCACCCACUGCCUGUACGGGGGGGAUGCAGUCUGCAGCCACCCGCACGGCUCCCACGCAAACCCUGCCCGGAUCGCCGGCAGCGGCACCACAACAGCGCUGAGACGCGUUGGCACCUCACGGCCGAGGAGCUGCGCGGCCCCAACGCACAGCGAUUGCGAUCCCGCACCCCACGAGCGGCAAACAAACAACGGCCGGAGCGCUCUGCAGGGCGCAGAGGAGCUGAGAGCCGCUCACGGCAGAGCGGGGGCGGAAAGCAGCAGCCCAACACCGCGCUGAGGAGGAGAGAGGGAAGGGACGGAAGAAGGACAACGCAACCACAACCAACGCGAGCGGGGACAGCCGAAAGAACUGAAAUAGAAGCACAGAGAGCGCCGAGAUGCGCGGCUCCGCGCGGUACCUGCACUGCAGCCGCUCAGCCCCCGCUCCGACACAGCCCCUCCCCGAGCGCCCGGGAUAUAGGGCCGCUCCCUCCCACCGGGCCAGAGCAGUGCUGAUACAAAGCCGGGGUGAUAACAAACAGCUCCUGGCCAGUCCAGAAGGACGUGAGAUGAGCUGCGUUACACACCGGAUCCGCCCCGCGAGGAAACACACGAGGAAAAAGCAAAGCCCUGCUCUCACCGCCCACCUGCGGGCGCUGGGUUAUGAGUGAGCAGCCGUGUGCCCACGGGUCUCUCCAGGGCUGUGGGUGGCUGUUUUGCCUGUCAAAGUCUCUGAGAUAUCUCUUUACCCACAACACAAAGGCAGCUGCAUUUCAACAACAUUGUUUUCAACGUCUUACCUGAAAAAUGAGAGGAAGGCUGAAAGCAAUGGUGACCCUCAGCUGUUUACCUGGGGAAGAAGAA